AUGGAGGGUACUAUGACAAUUGCUAAAUACAUUGGUCAAUUCAAUGAAUUAGUUAUAAGGUGUGCGAUUAUUGAUAACCGCAAACACCGCAUGGCAAGACACCAUAAUGGCCCAUGAGCUAACAUAAAGGUGAAGCUAGUAUUGUAUCGAUUAGAGACUCUUGAUGAAGCUUUGCUUAAAUGUCUACAAUUAGAGAAAGCCAUCAUUCUGCAAGCU
rnacentral:lncRNA from 1 species